GGUUGGGUCCGCUCAGUCCGGGCUCAGAAAGGGGCUUUGUUUCUCCAUGUCAGCGAUGGCUCCUCGUUGGAGUAUCUCCAGGUGGUGGCCGACCCACAUUUGGAGUCCAGGACGCUGACUUUUGGAAGUGCGGUGGAAGUGCAGGGGAAGCUGGUGAAAAGCCCACACAAAGGACAGAAAGUGGAGCUGAAGGCAGAAGAGAUUCGUGUGGUGGGCCCUUGUGACGUUUUGGCCUUCCCUCUGAAAUACAAAGUCCAUCACUCUCUGGAAUAUCUCCGGGAGCUGCCUCAUUUCCGAUGCAGAAGCAAUGUGCUGAGCGCCCUGCUGAGGGUACGCAGUGAAGCCACUGCAGCCAUCCACGCCUUUUUCAAGGUUUUCUGGAACGCAUUGCACCUUCUCAUCGGGAGGCAGCCCCUGUGUCAGCUUACCUGGCCUUGGAAACUAAACUGAAUCAAGCCUGGAGCCUAUAUGGAUGGGAGACCACCAGGAAAUCUCCAGGAUGUAGCAUUG